rnacentral:rRNA from 1 species
UCCCUAGACGUUCUGGGCCGCACGCGCGCUACACUGAACAGUUCAACAAGUCUUAACCUUGGCCGAUAGGUCUGGGUAAUCUUUGAACGCUGUUCGUGAUUGGGAUAGACCUUUGCAAUUAUGGGUCUUCAACGAGGAGUUCCUAGUAAACGCAAGUCAUCAGCUUGCACUGAUUACGUCCCUGCCCUUUGUACACACCGCCCGUCGCACCUACCGAUUGAAUGGUCCGGUGAAAUCUCGGGACGGCGGCUUGGUCGCUUGCGUCCGACUGCUGAAACUUGAUUAAACCAUAUCAUUUAGAGGAAGGUGAAGUCGUAACA